UGCAAGGAUUAUCUCACUUAAUCCUUGUCAGUGAGGAAGGUUCAUUUAUGAUGUUAUUUUAUACAUGAAGAAACUAGGAACUCGAGAGCGUAAGUGACCUGUCCAAAGUCACACAGAGCUAUGAAUGGGAGCUGAGGCCUCGCAGUCAGAAAAUCUGGAUUCCAGCCGCUUGGAUCAAACAGCUUUAGAUGACUCGAUGAAAAGAGAAGGAAGAGCGUAUACCAAGGAGAAACCCUGACCAUCACUUCUAUUUACACUGUUGAAGACACUAAGAAAAACAUUCUGGAUCCAGGAGUCUUCUGAUUAAUAAGAGGUCUAAAUCAGUACAUGGAGAAACAAGUCAACACGGGUUAGUCUAUCUUUUCUUCCUGCUGGACGCCUCCUCUCAUCUCUCAUGGCCCUUCCUUCUCUGCUCCACCCCAUCUGGACUGACCAGUCUGUAAUGCAAAGGAAGAUAAAAGAUGAACUCUUGAUGCGGAUAGGAGAGUGAACACCUUAUUUUCAUUUCCACGGCACUUUUGACUCGGUGUAUACUUUUUUCCCUCACCUCUCAAAAUAAGCUGGCGAAGUUAAGAAGGCAAUGUCUAUCUUGGCAGUAGAGGGACUCGGCAGAGAGAACAAGCAGCAACCAACAGGAUAUCUACAAAGGCCUGGAUCCUGACUGCAAUGCUGUGCACCUAAGAAUAAAUGAAAAUGAAAUCAGAACAGAAGAAUAAAGGGCAAGGGAGAGAAUCAAACUCCACAGGAUAUGUGUAAAAUGCUUUUAGUGACCUCAAAUUAUGGGAUUAAAAAUGGAAUGAAAAGGAAAUGGUUUUGAAAGUAAAUGAUGGAACAUUUGAAUUUGCUCUCUAGGAAGUAACAAUAGCAAACCUCACUUAAGCUUCUGUGUAUUUAGAAAAUCAGAAACAAGGAGAAAUACUGGGACCAUUCUUUGGUUGGGGAGCCAUUAGAAACUACUAUUACUAAGAUAAUUCUCGAAAAGACAAGAAAGACCUCCAUUAAAACAAUAAAAAGGAGAGUCCACAGGGCCUCUGGAAGCAAGGGGCUUGAGUUGUUAGCGUCUCACCUCCCCUUCUUUUGUCCCAAACUCCAUCCCUUACCUACUGGGGAAGGUCAAAACCCAAACAACUCUAGAGCCAUGAGGGCCAGCGGUAUCAUUAGCAGGACCCAGAAGAAAAUGAAAAUGUAGAACCUCUUAUUCAAAAAGCAGAAAAUAGCAUGCUACUAGAGGUAUUAAAAUGAACACUUUUCCCUUUCUUCCAGUCUUUCUCUUGACUUGUCAUCGUGUGUUUUUUAUUUUU